rnacentral:lncRNA from 1 species
AGAUUUUUCUCUAUGUUUGAGUAGGUCUACCUAAAAGGUAGAAAUUCUAUGUUGUGUCAAAAUAAUUUCCUAUGUUCAAGAAGAUGAGGUCUCUAUAUUCGGACAACUAAGGGUUUUGUUUAACUGUUUAACUCUCUGUUUGCCUUUAUUAUCUUCUGUUGUCACUUUGGUUAAAUGGAUAGCUAAGCAUUAUUUCACAGUGACCUAUGAUCCUAUUUGACCAAGUGUUUUAUAAACUUUUGAUAGUUUUGAUAAACUUCCCCAAAAUUCAAAUCCUAAAUUAAAUCUUUCUUUUGACCCAAAAUUAACUUUGAGAAUUUCCAGUGGACCCCUGGGAGUUCUCAAAGAAUUUGUUCUCUCUUCUUAUAAAGAGGGAGAUAUUAAACUAGUUAGGCUUAUUUGGUAUGUUAAUUUGCAUGGGAAGCAUUGUCAAAUAUAUGACUAUAAACCCUUUUAGGUUAUACUGCAUGAGUGAGUGUUAUUAAUGUGUUCCAAAAAUUAUAUAAAAUUUCUAAAAAUCUGACAUGUCCUGGUAUAACUCUAGUAAUUAUCUUAAAAUGUGUUACAGAAAUCAUCAAAUUUUGUUCUCAAUUGCAUUGUAAUCAAAUCUUUAUGCCAUUUUAAGUCUUUUGUCAUUUACAACCAAUUAUUGUUUCCUCUGAUGCUUUUGCAAAUGUUUCAUCUUCAGAGAGAUUCAUGGAAAGGACUAUGACAAUCUAGAAAAAACAGAUUUCUGAUAAACUUUUAGAUCAUAAAACUGAAUUGGGCAAGAAAUUAUAGAACUCCAACAGUGAAAUUGAUGGCUUCAGAAAACUGCUAACAAAAGAUCAAGAAAUGAAACCAUUCUGUUUCCUGAAGCCCUGCAAAUGGAACUGAACAACUUGAUAUAAACUUAAGAGAGAUCACCACAAUAGCCCAUGUUUGGACAAUCUUCAUGACUGUUGCUGUGUUUACCAAAACCCGUACAAAUUCAUGUUAUCUCUGUUACAAAAUUUGGCAGCACAAAAUUGACGCAUGACAGUCUGCAGUCUCAUGAAGUUUUUCUAGAGUGGGCCUAUGGAGGACUUGAGUCUACUUCAGAGUGAAUCUGAGAGGUGUUCUGUUUCCAGAAUGAACUAGAAUGCCUGAAUUUGACCAUAAUCAUCAGACUUUAACAGUCUGGAAUGAAGAAUCUACUGAAGUCAAAAUAUUGGAUGUCUAAGAGGUUGCUUCUAUAGAAAAUUAUGAUGAGAUUGAGGACAACAAUAACCACAGUGUGUGAUGGCUGCUUCCACUGAAU